AUAGCAAGCUGCUGAGUUGACUCUUCAGUGCCCUGAUUUCGCCUCUCGCCAGCCUCCGGACCCCAACAGGUUUGAAAGGCUGCAGCUUGAGUCCAGAUACCACAUGCCGAGAAGAAAGGAACCCAAACAGCUGACACAGAGUUCAGACUAAACUAACUGCAAGCUCCCCAGGGACAUCACAAGACGAAUGCACCACAUCAAACUCAGCCUGAGGAGCAAGAGUGUGAACAGAGGGACACAUGCUGCAAAAUUUGGAGGGUGCCUGGAUGGUGCCCAGAAGAUGCAGAUGCGGCCCCAAAGUCUGGGGCAGGGGGGGAGGAAUAAAAGUCAAAA